AUGAGGCGAACCGGGGGAACUGAAACAUCUAAGUACCCCGAGGAAAAGAAAUCAACCGAGAUUCCCCCAGUAGCGGCGAGCGAACGGGGAGGAGCCCAGAGCCUGAAUCAGUGUGUGUGUUAGUGGAAGCGUCUGGAAAGGCGCGCGAUACAGGGUGACAGCCCCGUACACAAAAAUGCACAUAUUGUGAGCUCGAUGAGUAGGGCGGGACACGUGGUAUCCUGUCUGAAUAUGGGGGGACCAUCCUCCAAGGCUAAAUACUCCUGACUGACCGAUAGUGAACCAGUACCGUGAGGGAAAGGCGAAAAGAACCCCGGCGAGGGGAGUGAAAAAGAACCUGAAACCGUGUACGUACAAGCAGUGGGAGCCUCUUAAUGGGGUGACUGCGUACCUUUUGUAUAAUGGGUCAGCGACUUAUAUUCUGUAGCAAGGUUAACCGAAUAGGGGAGCCGAAGGGAAACCGAGUCUUAACUGGGCGUUAAGUUGCAGGGUAUAGACCCGAAACCCGGUGAUCUAGCCAUGGGCAGGUUGAAGGUUGGGUAACACUAACUGGAGGACCGAACCGACUAAUGUUGAAAAAUUAGCGGAUGACUUGUGGCUGGGGGUGAAAGGCCAAUCAAACCGGGAGAUAGCUGGUUCUCCCCGAAAGCUAUUUAGGUAGCGCCUCGUGAAUUCAUCUCCGGGGGUAGAGCACUGUUUCGGCAAGGGGGUCAUCCCGACUUACCAACCCGAUGCAAACUGCGAAUACCGGAGAAUGUUAUCACGGGAGACACACGGCGGGUGCUAACGUCCGUCGUGAAGAGGGAAACAACCCAGACCGCCAGCUAAGGUCCCAAAGUCAUGGUUAAGUGGGAAACGAUGUGGGAAGGCCCAGACAGCCAGGAUGUUGGCUUAGAAGCAGCCAUCAUUUAAAGAAAGCGUAAUAGCUCACUGGUCGAGUCGGCCUGCGCGGAAGAUGUAACGGGGCUAAACCAUGCACCGAAGCUGCGGCAGCGACACUAUGUGUUGUUGGGUAGGGGAGCGUUCUGUAAGCCUGUGAAGGUGUACUGUGAGGUAUGCUGGAGGUAUCAGAAGUGCGAAUGCUGACAUAAGUAACGAUAAAGCGGGUGAAAAGCCCGCUCGCCGGAAGACCAAGGGUUCCUGUCCAACGUUAAUCGGGGCAGGGUGAGUCGACCCCUAAGGCGAGGCCGAAAGGCGUAGUCGAUGGGAAACAGGUUAAUAUUCCUGUACUUGGUGUUACUGCGAAGGGGGGACGGAGAAGGCUAUGUUGGCCGGGCGACGGUUGUCCCGGUUUAAGCGUGUAGGCUGGUUUUCCAGGCAAAUCCGGAAAAUCAAGGCUGAGGCGUGAUGACGAGGCACUACGGUGCUGAAGCGACAAAUGCCCUGCUUCCAGGAAAAGCCUCUAAGCAUCAGGUAACAUCAAAUCGUACCCCAAACCGACACAGGUGGUCAGGUAGAGAAUACCAAGGCGCUUGAGAGAACUCGGGUGAAGGAACUAGGCAAAAUGGUGCCGUAACUUCGGGAGAAGGCACGCUGAUAUGUAGGUGAAGCGACUUGCUCGUGGAGCUGAAAUCAGUCGAAGAUACCAGCUGGCUGCAACUGUUUAUUAAAAACACAGCACUGUGCAAACACGAAAGUGGACGUAUACGGUGUGACGCCUGCCCGGUGCCGGAAGGUUAAUUGAUGGGGUUAGCGGUAACGCGAAGCUCUUGAUCGAAGCCCCGGUAAACGGCGGCCGUAACUAUAACGGUCCUAAGGUAGCGAAAUUCCUUGUCGGGUAAGUUCCGACCUGCACGAAUGGCGUAAUGAUGGCCAGGCUGUCUCCACCCGAGACUCAGUGAAAUUGAACUCGCUGUGAAGAUGCAGUGUACCCGCGGCAAGACGGAAAGACCCCGUGAACCUUUACUAUAGCUUGACACUGAACAUUGAGCCUUGAUGUGUAGGAUAGGUGGGAGGCUUUGAAGUGUGGACGCCAGUCUGCAUGGAGCCGACCUUGAAAUACCACCCUUUAAUGUUUGAUGUUCUAACGUGGGCCCCUUACCGGGGUUGCGGACAGUGUCUGGUGGGUAGUUUGACUGGGGCGGUCUCCUCCUAAAGAGUAACGGAG
rnacentral:rRNA from 1 species